rnacentral:rRNA from 1 species
CUUACGUUUUGUGGCGAGCUUAACCGAGUAGGGGAGGCGUAGCGAAAGCGAGUUCGAAUAGAGCGAAGAGUCUCAAGGCGUAGACCCGAAACCAGAUGAGCUAUCCAUGGCCAGGUUGAAGGUGUGGUAACACACACUGGAGGACCGAACCGACUAGUGUUGCAAAAUUAGCGGAUGAGCUGUGGAUAGGGGUGAAAGGCUUAACAAAUCUGGAGAUAGCUGGUUCUCCCCGAAAACUAUUGAGGUAGUGCCUCGUGUAUUGCUCCAGGGGGUAGAGCACUGUUAUGGCUAGGGGGACAUGGCGUCUUACCAAACCAUGGCAAACUCCGAAUACUUGGAAGUAAGAGCACGGGAGACAGAGCACCGGGUGCUAACGUCCGGACUCAAGAGGGAAACAACCCAGACCGCCGUUUAAGGUCCCAAAUAUUGACUAAGUGGAAAACGAAGUGUGAAGGCUAAGACAGUCAGGAAGUUGGCUUAGAAGCAGCCAUCCUUCAAAGAAAGCGUAAUAGCUCACUGAUCGAGUCCUCAUGCGCGGAAGAUGUAACGGGGCUAAGUCAAUAACCGAAAGCGCGGAUUUGCAUGAAAGUGCAAGUGGUAGGGGAGCGUUCUGUAAGCCUGCGAAGGUGGUUCGAGAGGACUGCUGGAGGUAUCAGAAGUGCGAAUGCUGACAUGAGUAACGUUAAAGCGGGUGAAAAGCCCGCUCGCCGUAAGCCCAAGGUUUCCUGCUCUACGUUCAUCGGAGCAGGGUGAGUCGGCCCCUAAGGCCAGGCUGAGAAGCGUAGUCGAUGGGAAGCAGAUUAAUAUUUCUGCACCAUGUGCAAGUGCGAUGGGGGGACGGAGUGCGAAAGAUCAUCCGGGUGUUGGAUGUCCCGGUUUGUGAGUGUAGAAGGCCGACAGGCAAAUCCGUCGGCGGAUCUUCGAGACAAAGCAUCGAGGUUCUACGGAACCGAAGUGAUCGGAAGUGCUUCCAGGAAAAGCCUCUAAGCUUCAGCUUGUACAUGACCGUACCGUAAACCGACACUGGUGGGCGAGUUGAAUAUACUCAGGCGCUUGAGAGAACUCGGGAGAAGGAACUCGGCAAAUUGACACCGUAACUUCGGGAUAAGGUGUGCCUUUGUAGCGUGAAGAGAGAAACACUCGGAGCGUGAAGAGGCCUCAGAGAAUCGGUGGCUGCAACUGUUUAUUAAAAACACAGCACUCUGCAAAGACGAAAGUCGACGUAUAGGGUGUGAUGCCUGCCCGGUGCUGGAAGAUUAAGUGAUGGGGUGAGAGCUCCUGAUCGAAGUCCCAGUAAACGGCGGCCGUAACUAUAACGGUCCUAAGGUAGCGAAAUUCCUUGUCGGGUAAGUUCCGACCUGCACGAAUGGCGUAAUGAUGGCCAGGCUGUCUCCACCCGAGACUCAGUGAAAUUGAACUCGCUGUGAAGAUGCAGUGUACCCGCGGCAAGACGGAAAGACCCCGUGAACCUUUACUAUAGCUUGACACUGAACAUUGAGCCUUGAUGUGUAGGAUAGGUGGGAGGCUUGGAAGUGUGGACGCCAGUCUGCAUGGAGCCGACCUUGAAAUACCACCCUUUAAUGUUUGAUGUUCUAACGUUGACCCGUGAUCCGGGUUGCGGACAGUGUCUGGUGGGUAGUUUGACUGGGGCGGUCUCCUCCUAAAGAGUAACGGAGGAGCACGAAGGUUGGCUAAUCCUGGUCGGACAUCAGGAGGUUAGUGCAAUGGCAUAAGCCAGCUUGACUGCGAGCGUGACGGCGCGAGCAGGUGCGAAAGCAGGUCAUAGUGAUCCGGUGGUUCUGAAUGGAAGGGCCAUCGCUCAACGGAUAAAAGGUACUCCGGGGAUAACAGGCUGAUACCGCCCAAGAGUUCAUAUCGACGGCGGUGUUUGGCACCUCGAUGUCGGCUCAUCACAUCCUGGGGCUGAAGUAGGUCCCAAGGGUAUGGCUGUUCGCCAUUUAAAGUGGUACGCGAGCUGGGUUUAGAACGUCGUGAGACAGUUCGGUCCCUAUCUGCCGUGGGCGUUGGAGAAUUGAAAGGGGCUGCUCCUAGUACGAGAGGACCGGAGUGGACGCACCACUGGUGUUCCGGUUGUGUCGCCAGACGCAUUGCCGGGUAGCUAAGUGCGGAAGAGAUAAGUGCUGAAAGCAUCUAAGCACGAAACUUGCCUUGAGAUGAGUUCUCCCUGUCUUUAAGACAGUAAGGGUUGU